UACGUAGGGGGCAAGCGUUGUCCGGAUUUAUUGGGCGUAAAGAGCGUGUAGGCGGCCAGAUAGGUCGGUUGUGAAAACUGGAGGCUUAACCUUCAGACGUCGAUCGAAACCAUCUGGCUAGAGUCCGGAAGAGGAGAAUGGAAUUCCUGGUGUAGCGGUGAAAUGCGCAGAUAUCAGGAAGAACACCCGUGGCGAAGGCGGUUCUCUGGGACGGUACUGACGCUGAGACGCGAAAGCGUGGGGAGCGAACAGG
rnacentral:rRNA from 1 species